rnacentral:lncRNA from 1 species
AAUGCUGACUAAAGGAAAAAUUCAGUUUAGGGUUUAAAACCCUAAUGCUAACUGAAACACAAAGUUCAGUUUAGGGUUUAAAACCCUAAUGUUGACUAAAGGAAAAGUUCAGUUUAGGGUUUAAAACCCAAAUGCUGACUGAAAGGAAAAAUUCAGUUUAGGGUUUAAGACCCUAAUGCUGAUUAAAGGAAAAGUUCAGUUUAGGGUUAAAACCCUAAUGCUGACUGAAUGGAAAAGAGUUCAGUUUAGGGUUUAAAACCCUAAUGCUGACUGGCUGGAAAGUUCAGUUUAGGGUUUAAAAACUCUAAUGCUGAUUAAAGGAAAAAGUUCAGUUUAGGGUUUAAAACCCUAAUGCUGAUUAAAGGUAAAAGUUCAGUUUAGGGUUUAAAACCCUAAUGCUGACUGAAAGGGAAAGGUUCAGUUUAGGGUUUAAAACCCUAAUGCUGGCUGAAAGGA